UUACGUUCACUGUGAACAAAUCAGGACGCUUAGAGUAUGGCCACAUGAAUGACUCAGCGCAGUAUGAAGUCUUUGUUUUCUUCCGAAAACAAGCUCAAUGAGAGCCAUCGGGGGUAGAUCUAUCUCAUGACGAGUGGUGGAAUACUUUGACUCAUGAGAGAGAAGCUGAGGCGAAGGCGUCUACCUAGAGGGUUUCUGUCGAUCAAGGGCGAGAGUAGGAGUAUCCAACAGGAUUAGAGACCCUGGUAGUUCCUACCUUAAACGAUGCCGACAGGAGUUUGUCAUUUGUUAAUGGCAGAAUCUUUGGAGAAAUCAUAGUUCUUGGGCUCUGGGGGAACUACGACCGCAAGGCUGAAACUUGAAGGAAUUGACGGAAGGGCACACCAGGGGUGGAGCCUGUGGCUUAAUUUGAAUCAACACGGGGAAACUUACCAGGACCAGAUGUUUUUUAUGACUGACAGGCUUCGGGUCUUUCAGGAUAUUGUUUUUGGUGGUGCAUGGCCGUUGGUGGUGCGUGGGUUGACCUGUCUAGCGUUGAUUCAGCUAACGAGCGAGAUUAUCGCCAAUUAUUUACUUUGCCGAAGUCCUUCGGUUAAAGUUCUAAUUGGGACUCCCUGCGAUUUUAGCAGGUGGAAGAGGGUAGCAAUAACAGGUCCGUGAUGCCCUUUAGAUGCUCUGGGCUGCACGCGUGCUACAAUGUUAGGAUCAAUAGGACUGCGAGCCUGAGAGGGUGCGCUACUCUUAUAAUCCCUAACGUAGUUGGGAUUGACGUUUGUAAUCAGCGUCAUGAACCAGGAAUCCCUUGUAAAUGUGUGUCAACAACGCACGUUGAAUACGUCCCUGCCCUUUGUACACACCGCCCGUCGCUCCUACCGAUUGGAUGACUCGGUGAAAUCACCGGAUGCUUACGAGCAGAAAGUGAUUAAAUCACGUUAUCUAGAGGAAGGAGAAGUCGUAACAAGGUAACGGUAGGGAACCUGCCGUGGAUCAGU
rfam:Trichomonas vaginalis G3, whole genome shotgun sequence.